CCCUGACUGAACUCAGGAUGCCCCCGGACCCCGGGAUGCCGCGCUGGAGGCUGCAGGAAGAUUUCCCAGAGGGCCACAUAGGGCACAGAGGGCCACAGUGCGCCCAAAUGUCCACAGACUCUACCCAGACAGCGACCAUUACUCCACCGGGGGCCUGUGCCAUGCCCAGAGAGGCUUCAGGCCCCUGACUGGACUCAGGACGCCCCCGGACCCCGGGAUGCCUCGCUGGAGGCUGCAGGAAGAUUCCCAGAGGGCCACAUAGGGCACAGAGGGCCACAGCGCGCCCCAGUGUCCACAGAUUCUGCCCAGACAGCGACCAGGACUCCACCGGGGGCCUGGGCCGUGCCCAGAGAGGCUUCAGGUCUCAGCAGCUGGGAUCAAAGAAGCAGCCACCCAUCCAUUCCUUAGAGAAGGCCCCUGACCGUACUCAGGACGCCCCAGGACCCCGAGAUGCUGCGCUAGAGGCUGCAGGAAGAUGCUUACAGGGCACAGAGGGCCACAGUGCGCCCCAGUGUCCACAGACUCUGCCCAGACAGCGACCAUGACUCCACCUGGGGCCUGGGCCCUGGCCAGAGAGGCUUCAGGUAUCACCAUCCGUGAACAAACCAGCAGCUUCCCUACCACAUCCAUACAGUCGUCAGAGAAGGUAUCAGCAUCCGUGAACAAACAAGCAGCUUCCCUACCACAUCCAUCCAGUCGUCAGAGAAGGUAAGGCAUCUUUCUUUUGUGACAGUCCAAGGACCGCUCUACUAUAUCUCCAUUGAACAAGGUGUCCAUUCAAAGCUAGUGGCUUACGUAACAGCAAGUACAAGCAGUAGAGAUAAAUUCUGGUGACACUGCCAGUGGCCCCUUAUUUUGCCUCAGACAUACCAUUGUCAACCUCAUUCUGAUUGCCUAGUUUCCUUAAGAUUGUGGCUUUCAGCCAUUUGUGAUUCCUACAUUGAUUGAUCUGUUUAUUUUUUUGUUUAAUUUUAACUUUGGUUAUUUGACUUUAUAAUUUCCCCUUUUUAUGUCUAAUUUCUUGAGUUGUUUAUAUUUUUGGUAUAUCUAUGUAAUUGAGUUUUGUGCCUGUUGAUUGAUAUGCCUCUUUUUUCAUUUUUCUACAUGUUGAAAUCCAGUUAUGCUGGCACCAUUUGUUUAAGAUGCUUUCUUUGUUUGGUUGGCUAAUUUUACCUUCUUUGUAAAAGAUGAGCUGUUCAUCAGUGUUGAUUAUUAUGUGUGUUUUGGAUUUUAUUCUAGUAGUCAAGUCUCUGUUUUUAUACCAUUACCAAGCUGUUUCCAUUACUGUCUCUCUGUGGUGGAGGUUGAUGGAUUGUCAUGCCUCUGGAAGUUCCUUUCCUUUACAGGAUUGUGUCUGCUACCUUCGGUUUUUUUAUUAUUGAUGAAGGUGAUUGUUUUUAUCUAAACUGACAUUAAUAAUUUAUUGAUAUUUUGAUGUGGGUUACAAUUAUAUAGAUUGCUUUUGGUAUGAUUAGCAGUCAUAUCAUGUUAAUCCUCUGUUCAAGAACAUUGGGAGAUCUUUCCAUUUCCUGCUGUAUUCAUCAGUGUUUUUCUACAAAAGCUUUAUGUUAAUUUCAUGGAUGUCUUUAACUAUAGUUAGUUUUAUCAGUUAUCAUUUAUUGCUUUAUGGUCCCUGGGUAUUGAUUUCAUUUAAAUGAGGACACUGGAUGAAGUGUAUGAAUAACUGCAUAAGAUUAAUUUCGUAUGAACUUUUAUACACACUAAAAAGCAUUGCUUCAACUUUGAAACCCCCCUUGACUCACAUACAUGUUCAUGAGAAACUUUUGACUCUCUUUGCAAGAGACAAUACCUCAAUAAAAACGAAAUGAAGUACAUAGAAACCAGGCUAAAAGAAUGCAGAAGCAAAGUACUCCUUUAUAACUGGUAGAGUGUGAAGAACUGAGCUCACAAGCCAAUUCUUUAUCCAUUGUAUAGAUUCUCACAUAACAUUUUAGGAUUGUGCAUAGUUAGCUUUCGUCUAUUCUUGGUUUCCCAAGCAAUUGUUUCCUAACUUCAUUUUAUCUGUCCCAGGAGUUGCCUUAA